AUCAACUUUCGAUGGUAGGAUAGAGGCCUACCAUGGUGGUAACGGGUAACGGGGUGUUAGGGCACGACACCGGAGAGGGAGCCUGAGAAACGGCUACCACAUCCAAGGAUGGCAGCAGGCGCGCAAAUUACCCAAUCCCGACACGGGGAGGUAGUGACAAUAAAUAACAAUACGGGGUUCUUUCGGAUCUCGUAAUUGGAAUGAGUACAAUUUAAAUCUCUUAACGAGGAACAAUUGGAGGGCAAGUCUGGUGCCAGCAGCCGCGGUAAUUCCAGCUCCAAUAGCGUAUAUUAAAGUUGUUGCAGUUAAAAAGCUCGUAGUUGAAUUUCGGGGCCAGUAGGUCGGUCGUGCCAAUGGUAUGCACUGGUCUCACUGGUCCCUCCCUCUUGAAGAACCGUGAUGCCAUUAAUUUGGUGUUGCGGGGAAACAGGACUGUUACUUUGAAAAAAUUAGAGUGCUUAAAGCAGGCUUACGCUUGAAUACAUUAGCAUGGAAUAACGAAAUAGGACGAUCGAUUCUAUUUUGUUGGUUUCUAGGAUCGACGUAAUGAUUAAUAGGGAUAGUUGGGGGCAUUAGUAUUCAAUUGUCAGAGGUGAAAUUCUUGGAUUUAUUGAAGACUAACUACUGCGAAAGCAUUUGCCAAGGAUGUUUUCAUUAAUCAAGAACGAAAGUUAGGGGAUCGAAGACGAUCAGAUACCGUCGUAGUCUUAACCAUAAACUAUGCCGACUAGGGAUCGGAUGAAGUUAAUUUUUUUAAUGACUCAUUCGGCGCCUUACGGGAAACCAAAGUGUUUGGGUUC
rnacentral:rRNA from 1 species